GACGAACGCUGGCGGCGUGCUUAACACAUGCAAGUCGAACGGAAAGGCCCUGCUUUUGUGGGGUGCUCGAGUGGCGAACGGGUGAGUAACACGUGAGUAACCUGCCCUUGACUUUGGGAUAACUUCAGGAAACUGGGGCUAAUACCGGAUAGGAGCUCCUGCUGCAUGGUGGGGGUUGGAAAGUUUCGGCGGUUGGGGAUGGACUCGCGGCUUAUCAGCUUGUUGGUGGGGUAGUGGCUUACCAAGGCUUUGACGGGUAGCCGGCCUGAGAGGGUGACCGGCCACAAUGGGACUGAGGGACGGCGCAGACUCCUACGGGAGGCAGCAGUGGAGAAUAUUGCACAAUGGGCGGAAGCCUGAUGCAGCAACGCCGCGUGCGGGAUGACGGCCUUCGGGUUGUAAACCGCUUUCGCCUGUGACGAAGCGUGAGUGACGGUAAUGGGUAAAGAAGCACCGGCUAACUACGUG
rnacentral:rRNA from 1 species